CAUCUGCUGUCCAGGAGGAUACCAAGGAACGAUCGGGUUUGGAUAUUGCCACGGAGCGAAGUAAUAACCAGGGAAGAGUGUUUGCAGCCGAUGUUGUCUGUGGAGUACUACCAGUGCUUGGAUUGGAAUUCUGCUGAGGGGCCGUUGCAUCAUAGGAUCCGCGGGCGGAUUCUGCGUCGAUGUCGAUGGGAGUUGUAUCUCGUGGACCUGGGAACUGGUGUUGCCAGGGGUUGACGUUAAAGGCAGAGGAGCAUCCUGGGCUUGAGCAUCUACA